UGGGGAAUAUUGGACAAUGGGGGGAACCCUGAUCCAGCCAUGCCGCGUGUGUGAAGAAGGCCUGAUGGUUGUAAAGCACUUUAAGCGAGGAGGAGGGUACUGGUAUUAAUACUACCAGGUACUGGACGUUACUCGCAGAAUAAGCACCGGCUAACUCUGUGCCAGCAGCCGCGGUAAUACAGAGGGUGCGAGCGUUAAUCGGAUUUACUGGGCGUAAAGCGUGCGUAGGCGGCUAAUUGAGUCGGAUGUGAAAUCCCCGAGCUUAACUUGGGAAUUGCAUUCGAUACUUGUUAGCUAGAGUGUGGGAGAGGAUGGUAGAAUUCCAGGUGUAGCGGUGAAAUGCGUAGAGAUCUGGAGGAAUACCGAUGGCGAAGGCAGCCAUCUGGCCUAACACUGACGCUGAGGUACGAAAGCAUGGGGAGCAAACAGG
rnacentral:rRNA from 1 species